CCGUAGCCCAAGAGAUCGGGAUAACACCUGGAAACAGAUGCUAAUACCGGAUAACAACAGAUGAUGCCUAUCAACUGUUUAAAAGAUGGUUCUGCUAUCACUCUUGGAUGGACCUGCGGUGCAUUAGCUAGUUGGUAGGGUAACGGCCUACCAAGGCGAUGAUGCAUAGCCGAGUUGAGAGACUGAUCGGCAACAUUGGGACUGAGACACGGCCCAAACUCCUACGGGAGGCAGCAGGC
rnacentral:rRNA from 1 species